rnacentral:rRNA from 1 species
GACGAACGCUGGCGGCGUGCUUAACACAUGCAAGUCGAACGGAAAGGCCCUGCUUUUGUGGGGUGCUCGAGUGGCGAACGGGUGAGUAACGCGUGAGUAACCUGCCCUUGACUUUGGGAUAACUUCAGGAAACUGGGGCUAAUACCGGAUAGGAGCUCCUGCUGCAUGGUGGGGGUUGGAAAGUUUCGGCGGUUGGGGAUGGACUCGCGGCUUAUCAGCUUGUUGGUGGGGUAGUGGCUUACCAAGGCUUUGACGGGUAGCCGGCCUGAGAGGGUGACCGGCGACAUUGGGACUGAGAUACGGCCCAGACUCCUACGGGAGGCAGCAGUGGGGAAUAUUGCACAAUGGGCGGAAGCCUGAUGCAGCAACGCCGCGUGCGGGAUGACGGCCUUCGGGUUGUAAACCGCUUUCGCCUGUGACGAAGCGUGAGUGACGGUAAUGGGUAAAGAAGCACCGGCUAACUACGUG